AGAGUUUGAUCAUGGCUCAGAUUGAACGCUGGCGGCAUGCCUUACACAUGCAAGUCGAACGGUAACGCGGGGCAACCUGGCGACGAGUGGCGAACGGGUGAGUAAUGCAUCGGAACGUGCCCAGUAGUGGGGGAUAGCCCGGCGAAAGCCGGAUUAAUACCGCAUACGACCUACGGGUGAAAGGGGGGGAUCGCAAGACCUCUCGCUAUUGGAGCGGCCGAUGUCAGAUUAGGUAGUUGGUGGGGUAAAGGCCUACCAAGCCGACGAUCUGUAGCUGGUCUGAGAGGACGACCAGCCACACUGGGACUGAGACACGGCCCAGACUCCUACGGGAGGCAGCAGUGGGGAAUUUUGGACAAUGGGCGCAAGCCUGAUCCAGCCAUGCCGCGUGCGGGAAGAAGGCCUUCGGGUUGUAAACCGCUUUUGUCAGGGAAGAAAUCUUCUGGGUUAAUACCUCGGGAGGAUGACGGUACCUGAAGAAUAAGCACCGGCUAACUACGUGCCAGCAGCCGCGGUAAUACGUAGGGUGCAAGCGUUAAUCGGAAUUACUGGGCGUAAAGCGUGCGCAGGCGGUUAUGCAAGACAGAUGUGAAAUCCCCGAGCUCAACUUGGGAACUGCGUUUGAAACUGCCAGACUAGAAUAUGUCAGAGGGGGGUAGAAUUCCACGUGUAGCAGUGAAAUGCGUAGAGAUGUGGAGGAAU
rnacentral:rRNA from 1 species